ensembl:lncRNA
ACCAGAGCACAAUCUCUCAGCCCCACUGAUAGCUUUGGUCCACUCUGUCUCACAUGAGGACACAACUUUAGCAUGCCAUCAUGUGGGUUGGGGCAGCCUUUCAGAUCUGUAAUGUUUUCCUAUGGUGUCUUGGCCACGUGGUAUCAGAAAUCAGGCCUUCUCCAUGUCUCUGAAGCAUUUAGAUGGUUACCAAGUUCGCAGAUCUUCAACAGCCACAGCAGCAGCUGCUAGCUCCACCCAAAGCAAAACAAUGAUCUCUGCCUUUGCUAUGGGAUCUGACUCAGCUGUUCCAGACACAUGGCUUUAUCAUCCUGCAGCCUUUUUUAACAGGUUUAUCAAGUUCAGCUGGCACAAAGCAAUCUAUUAACACUUACAGCAUUGAUGAGGAGGAAGCAAAAAUAAAGAGAAAGCCAAAUACAUGAGAUACAUGCUCCUCACAGGCUCGCUUCCAGCAAAUGUCCUCAGAUCCUUCUCCAAGUUAUUACCAGCAACACCAUUUUUCUUUGAUCUUAAGCCACUUCAGAUCUUGAUAUGAAGUGGCCUACCACAUAGCCCUCUUGCACACACAUAGCUCUGACCUCAAAACCAACCCAGUGGCUUGGUCAGUGGAGAGAUAACUAACAUUAGCCCCAUCAAGUCAGCAAUCACAUGGGAAUGUCCCAGAACAAAGUCUUUCAUACUCCCGAGUCUGGGGUGUGACACAGCAAAGCAGCAGAACAGAACCCAAAUUACCAGCCUUCCUGAAAUAGACAUGCAUGCAAAGCUUAUUUUGAGAACAAUGUCCUAGCUUUCAAAAAGAGGACAAAGUUGGUUAAAAAAUUAGCUGCAUGUGCAAACAGUGGCAUGCUGCUCUGCAUUCCUUGAUGGCUAUAAACUAGUUGACAUGGUAUACAUGUAUACAUAUAAAUAACCAAGGCAAAUAGCAUAAUUCUGAUCAAAACUGAUUGGUGGCUCCUACUUAAAAUAAUACUAAUAAUAAUAAUUACAGGGAACUUGAUUGGUGGCCCUGAGGGUCCAGCAUGUGAAUUGCUUCUGUGAGCCAAAGCAGAGGCAGUGCUUUCACAUUUGGAAACCAGAUGGCUGUAGAACUCAAUCCAGAAUAUUUAAUUAUUCUUGGCUUUAUAUCCUAAUUUGCCUCAUUACAAGAGAAGACAUAGCAGAAACAUGCAGGCCAAACUUUACUUCCAUUUAUACCAGUUCAGCCCCAAAGAGGUCAGCAGAACCCUCCAGAAGCUGUGGGCUUGCCAAGAACGGGGGUUUUGAGCACAAAUUGACCCCAACAGCUCAGGCCUGUCUGACUCAUUUGCCUCUUUAGUUCCCUGAAAUCCCAGACACUGCCUACUGCCAAGAGGAAGCCCAUUGUGUUGUGCUCUUCUUCAGAUCUACUUCUCUUUGCUAUCACAGCUUGCUCUCCUCUGUUCCUUCUAGGACAAUGUGUUCUUGUGGAAGUUAUACUUGGAAGACACCUACUGUUAGAACAUGGACUUCAUUGGCAAUGCCAGGAGCUGAUGUUUCUAUAGAAUUUCACCUUUGAAUCAUUGCCCUACUUUUUGUGAGAGUUUUAUUACUGCUGUUGAACAAACAUUUCAAGCAACUGGGCCAACUCUACUUUGCCUGGAAGACCAUGUCUCUGCUUGCUCACCUAGGAGGACCAGGACAGGCUAUAGAAAAAGGACAAAUGUCUGCUUACAGUUUGGUGAUACUUGCUCCCCACUCCUUUCUCAGUCAUAUCAUCAAAAUUGAGUUUAAUUCACAAAUUAUUAGACCAGUAUGGAUCAGUUUGGUUUUUCAGCCUGAUUGCCAGUAUCAUAGAAUCAUAGAAUCACAGUGGUUGGAAAAGACCCACAGGAUCACCCAGUCCAACCAUUCACCCAUCACCAAUGCUUCUUGCUAAACCAUGUCUCUCAAUAUAACGUCCAAACGUUCCUUGAACACCUCCGGGGUCGGUGACUCCAACACCUCUCUGGGCAGCCCAUUCCAGAGCCUGACCACCCUUUCAGAGAAGUAGUAUUUCCUAAUGUCCAGCCUGAACCUUCCCUGGCUAUCAUGCAGGGAACAGGCUCAUGUGGACCACUUUCUAUUGGCAUGCAAUAGUAUUUGCAAAAAAACACUCAGUUUUGAUGUAAAUGUUCUCCUUGAUGGAACAAGUUACAUACAAUAAAUACAUUUUUU